CCUACGGGAGGCAGCAGUGGGGCAUAUUGCUCAAUGGGGGAAACCCUGAAGCAGCAACGCCGCGUGGAUGAUGAAGGUUUUCGGCUUGUAAACCCCUUUUGUUAGAGAAGAUAAUGACGGUAUCUGACGAAUAAGCACCGGCUAACUCGGUGCCAGCAGCCGCGGUAAUACGGAGGGGGCAAGCGUUACUCGGAAUCACUGGGCGUAAAGAGCGCGUAGGCGGGAUAGCAAGUCAGAAGUGAAAUCCUAGGGCUUAACCCUAGAACUGCAUUUGAAACUGUAAUGCUAGAGUAUGGUAGAGGUAGGUGGAAUUCUUGGUGUAGAGGUGAAAUGCGUAGAGAUCAGGAGGAAUACCGAUGGCGAAGGCGGCCUGCUAGAACAUGACUGACGCUGAUGCGCGAAAGCGUGGGGAGCAAACAGGAUUAGAUACCCCAGUAGUC
rnacentral:rRNA from 1 species